GUUGGUUACAUAGAGAGUCGAACCUGCCCAGUGAUAGUAUUCAACGGCCGCGGUACUCUGACCGUGCAAAGGUAGCAUAAUCAUUUGCCCUAUAAUUGAGGGCUAGUAUGAAUGGUUUGACAAGAGCAAAGCUGUCUCUCUAGGAUUUUUUAGAAUUUGGUUUUUAGGUGAAGAAACCUAAAUUUAAUUGAAAGACAAGAAGACCCUAUCGAGCUUAAAACAAAUUUAUUAAAAAGUGUGACUGCAAUUAAUCAAUUUUAGUAAAAAAUUUUGGUUGGGGCGACUAAGGAACAAAAAAAGCUUCUUUUAUUUUAAAGUACUGAUAAGUUUUGAUCCAGAAAAUCUGAUUAAAAGAAUUAGUUACCGUAGGGAUAACAGCAUAAUCUUUUUCAAGAGUUCUUAUCGAAAAAAAGGUUUGUGACCUCGAUGUUGGACUAGGAUAUCCUAAUAGAUGCAGAAGUC
rnacentral:rRNA from 1 species